CGUGCCUAAUACAUGCAAGUCGAGCGGUAAGGCUUUCACAGAUUAUUUGAACGGAAAAGUCCAAGAAUGUAAAAUUCUAGGAUACUAUCUUUCAACGUUUAACUCUUUGGCGAGAGAAAAAUGGUUGAAUAAUGUGUGAAAGUACACGAGCGGCGAACGGCUGAGUAACGCGUAGGAAUGUACCCCAAAGUGAGGGAUAAGCACCGGAAACGGUGUCUAAUACCGCAUGUGGUCUAAGGACUAAAGACUUCGGUCGCUAUGGGAGCAGCCUGCGUAAGAUUAGUUUGUUGGUGAGGUAAUGGCUCACCAAGACUACGAUCUUUAGCUGGUCUGAGAGGAUGAUCAGCCAGACUGGAACUGAGACACGGUCCAGACUCCUACGGGAGGCAGCAGUAGGGAAUUUUCCACAAUGGACGAAAGUCUGAUGGAGCAACGCCGCGUGCAGGAUGACAGCCUUCGGGUCGUAAACUGCUUUUAUGAGUGAAGAUUAUGACAGUAACUCAAGAAUAAGGGACGGCUAACUACGUGCCAGCAGCCGCGGUCAUACGUAGGUCCCAAGCAUUAUCCGGAAUUACUGGGCGUAAAGAGUUGCGUAGGUGGUUUACUAAGCAGAACAUGAAAGCAUACGGCUCAACCGUAUACACGUAUUCUGAACUGGUAAACUAGAGGAUGAGAGAGGUUAUUGGAAUUUCUUGUGUAGGAGUGAAAUCCGUAGAUAUAAGAAGGAACACCGAUGGCGUAGGC
rnacentral:rRNA from 1 species